AUUGAACGCUGGCGGCAGGCCUAACACAUGCAAGUCGAGCGGAGCGGCGGACGGGUGAGUAAUGCCUAGGAAUCUGCCUGGUAGUGGGGGAUAACGUCCGGAAACGGGCGCUAAUACCGCAUACUAUCAGAUGAGCCUAGGUCGGAUUAGCUAGUUGGUGGGGUAAAGGCCUACCAAGGCGACGAUCCGUAACUGGUCUGAGAGGAUGAUCAGUCAAACUGGGAAGUAGACACGGUCCCGACUCCUACGGGGGGGAGCAGUGGGGGAUAUUGGACAAUGGGGGAAAGCCUGAGCCAGCCAUGCCGCGUGUGUGAAGAAGGUCUUCGGAUUGUAAAGCACUUUAAGUUGGGAGGCGUUACCAACAGAAUAAGCACCGGCUAACUUCGUGCCAGCAGCCGCGGUAAUUC
rnacentral:rRNA from 1 species